rnacentral:rRNA from 1 species
UGAGGAAUAUUGGACAAUGGGCGCAAGCCUGAUCCAGCCAUGCCGCGUGCAGGAAGAAGCAUCUAUGGUGUGUAAACUGCUUUUGUACGGGAAGAAACACUCCUACGUGUAGGAGCUUGACGGUACCGUAAGAAUAAGGAUCGGCUAUCUCCGUGCCAGCAGCCGCGGUAAUACGGAGGAUCCAAGCGUUAUCCGGAAUCAUUGGGUUUAAAGGGUCCGUAGGCGGUUUAAUAAGUCAGUGGUGAAAGCCCAUCGCUCAACGAUGGAACGGCCAUUGAUACUGUUGGACUUGAAUUACAAGGAAGUAACUAGAAUAUGUAGUGUAGCGGUGAAAUGCUUAGAUAUUACAUGGAAUACCAAUGGCGAAGGCAGGUUACUACUUGUGGAUUGACGCUGAUGGACGAAAGCGUGGGGAGCGAACA